GCCAGCAGCCGCGGUAAUACGGAGGAUCCAAGCGUUAUCCGGAAUUAUUGGGUUUAAAGGGUCCGUAGGUGGACAAUUAAGUCAGAGGUGAAAUCCUGCAGCUCAACUGUAGAAUUGCCUUUGAAACUGGUUGUCUUGAGUCAUUAUGAAGUGGUUAGAAUGUGUAGUGUAGCGGUGAAAUGCAUAGAUAUUACACAGAAUACCAAUUGCGAAGGCAGAUCACUAAUAAUGUACUGACACUGAUGGACGAAAGCGUGGGUAGCGAACAGGAUUAGAUACCCUGGUAGUCCACGCCGUAAACGAUGGUCACUAGCUGUUCGGACUUCGGUCUGAGUGGCUAAGCGAAAGUGAUAAGUGACCCACCUGGGGAGUACGUUCGCAAGAAUGAAACUCAAAGGAAUUGACGGGGGCCCGCACAAGCGGUGGAGCAUGUGGUUUAAUUCGAUGAUACGCGAGGAACCUUACCAGGGCUUAAAUGUAGAGUGACAGGUCUAGAGAUAGAUUUUUCUUCGGACACUUUACAAGGUGCUGCAUGGUUGUCGUCAGCUCGUGCCGUGAGGUGUCAGGUUAAGUCCUAUAACGAGCGCAACCCCUGUUGUUAGUUGCCAGCGAGUAAUGUCGGGAACUCUAGCAAGACUGCCUGUGCAAACUGUGAGGAGGGUGGGGAUGACGUCAAAUCAUCACGGCCCUUA
rnacentral:rRNA from 1 species